rnacentral:rRNA from 1 species
UACGUAGGGACCGAGCGUUGUCCGGAAUCAUUGGGCGUAAAGAGCGUGUAGGCGGCUAUUUAAGUCCUGCGUGAAAUCCUGCGGCUCAACCGCAGACGGUCGUGGGAAACUGGAUGGCUAGAGUGCGGGAGAGGAGAGUGGAAUUCCCGGUGUAGCGGUGGAAUGCGCAGAUAUCAGGAGGAACACCAAUGGCGAAGGCAGAUCUCUGGGCCGUAACUGACGCUGAGGAGCGAAAGCAUGGGGAGCGAACAGG